AUCAAGUCUGAAGUCAGGAGGUAGGCUGGGGGACUGAGCAAAAAAAACAAAAACAAAAACCAGAAAACACUUAGGAUGAUAGAGAAGAUGCUCAAGACGGAAAAAAAUUAUUUCAAAAUAACAAUAUUUUUUUAAAAGAAAAUAUAGAGCUUAGGUAUAGAUUCAAUGAAUUCUUCAAAUACAUGAAGCAAUAUUUUAUUAAUCAAAUAAGUGAAGAAAAUUGAAAAAUUAGAACUUGAGAAGAAAGAAAAGGGAAUUAAAAGCUUAUCAGAAGCACAAAAUCUGACUCAAGCAACAAAAUGUACCACAUAGUAGCUAAUGGCUUCAUGAGACAAGAAGAAAUGUUCUAACUAAGAAGACUAGGGGAAAAAAUAUUUAAUAGCAAGGGCAGGUAGGUGGCAGAGUGGAUAAGAGCACCAGCCCUGAAGUCAGGAGAACCUGGGUUCAAAUGUGGCCUUGGCUACUUAACCCUUCCUAGUUGUGUGACCCUGGGCAAAUCACUUAACUCCAAUCGCCUCAGGCAAAAAAAAAAGCAAAAACAACUGAAAGAAAAAAGUUGUCAUUGGACUACCCAAGCACCAUGACCAAGAAUCUCUGUAUCUUAAGAGUAAUCAUUUUUUUUUUUUAAAUGCCAAGAUUUUUUAGAACCAGAGAACAAAGUGUAAAAAGAGAGGAUUCACUGAUCAGUCACCUUUUAAAAGAAAAACUCAAAUGAAAACUCCUGUGAAUAUUAUAGUAAAACCUAAAGCUUGAAGUCAAAGAUAAAAUACUGCCAAAAGACAGAAUAUGGGUAUUAAGUAGCCACAGUCUGGAUCAUGUGAUUCAGCAGUCAUAUGGAAGAACAUCUGGGAAUAUGUUCCGAAGGAUGCAAGUUUAUACUCGAGAAAACUUAGGCAGCGAAACAAUAUUAUUCUAUGGGGGAAAUGGAAUUUUAAAUAGAGGACAUUAAAUAGCAUUGAUGAAAAGAUCAGAGCUGAAUAGAAACUUUAAAGCUUAAACAGAGACGUUAAUAGGAAAAUUUUAAAAAGCAAACAAUUUUGAGAGUAAAGUAUAAAUUAUAUAUAAUCCUCUUGUGAACGAUUUCUUCAGCAGGGAUCAAAGGAGGUCUCAGGAUUUCUUUUUUUUUUUAUGAUAAGAAUGGAAAUAGAAGGGAAGAGGAAUAUAGUAUAGGGAAGGGAAAUGAAGGUUUGAGGAAAUCCCAUAUCUGUAUGCAAAUCGAUAAAUCUAUAAAGAAGGAAUAUGGGGUGGGGAGAAAGCCACAAUGACAAAUUUCACUUGAUAGGGAAAGACAUUUCACUUGAUAGAGAAGAAAGAAUGGAGAAGGUAAAGUAUGGGAGAGAUUUUUCUUAAUAAAAACAACCUCUAAGGUUAUACCAAUAAAUAACCAAAAAAAUUAAAACAAACCAAAAAAAAAAAUCCUUAAGAGGUGACCAUCAAUUGGAGAAUAUCUGAAAACAUGAUAUGUAAGUGAUGCAAUCCUAUUCUAUAAGAAAUAUAAAAAAGUUAUAAUUCUAAGAAAUGACAAAAAAAUCAGAAACAGAUGAAUUGGUUGAGAAUAAAUUUAAGGAAACAAUUUAUUCAGUAGUAGCAUGAAAGAAUUGGGGAUUCUGAUUAGCAUAAUGACCUAGCCAAGAUUCCAGAGGACUGAUGAUUAAACAUGUUUGUCUAUCAUUCUCAAAGAGUACCAUGACUUCAGGGAGGUGUAAGUGGUUAGAAUUUAAGUGAGGGAGGUCUGUGCAAGGUAACCAGUUUAACUUUCCAUGUGGGUGCAGUGGCAAGGUACAGAUUAAGACAACUGGAGAUGGCCCUGAAUGCAGUGGGAGGCCUUGGCCUUCUUAACGGAAGGUGCUUAAUAGGUCAGAGUUUUAUUGAAGCAGCACCCAAUCAGUGAUUAAUGGUAGGUAAGAAAUGGGUAAAAAAUGGCCUCUUUUUACCUCAUCUAAAAAUAAAUAUAUUUUAUAUACACACACACAUUCAUCUGUGAGGGGAAAAUUCAACCAAAAAUGUUAUCCCUUUCUGAUUGGUGAAAUACUCAGAAUGAGGUGUGUGUGUGUGCGUGUGCGUGCAUGCGCGUGCGCCAAUAAAAAAAUUUGUUUUACUUGAUAACAUGUUUGUAAUGGGUUUUUUUUUCUUUCAUUCUCAGUAGGGGUGCUUAGAAAGGUGUUGAGGUAGGAAAAUGAGAAGGAAGAUUCUUGCUAGUUGGAAAGAAUAAAAAAUUAGGGAAUGGGGUUGGCAUAAUGGGUUUCAGAUUCACUGGAAUGGGUUAUGAGUUUGUUAAAUCAUUGCUGAAUAAAUUUAGGAAACAAUAUCAGAAGUCCGUGUCAGAGUUAUUUCCUCUUAGGGUGUUGGGCAGCUCAGAGGAGGACCAAUAGAGGGAGCUGAUAGAACAAAAUUUCUGUCCUGUCCCUAUAGUUAGGCUUGGUGAGAUUACAUGGAGGGAACAAAUUGAAUAAUUUAUUAUUUAUUAAUUAAUCUUUCAUUAAGUGUAAUGUUAUCUUUGGCCUAUAAGGAUGCCACAAAUAACAUACUAGGGAUAAGCAAACUAUGGCCCAUAGGACAAAUCUGGCUCUCUGCCUUUUUUAUUUCAGACCAUGGGAAUAAUAAUAGUUUUUACUUAAGUUAUUGCAGAACAUCAAAAGAUGAGUAAUAUUUGAUACAUUAAUAUAUGAAAUUCAAAUUUUGGUGUUCAUAAAGUUUUAUUGCAGUACAGUUGUGCUUGUUCAUUUAUGUAUUGUCUGACAGCUUUUGCACUACAAUGGGAGUAAAGCAAUUGUGAUUUUACACACAUACACACUGAACAUUUUUUCUUAUUAUUGGUUCAAACCCAUAAUAUCAAAAUAAAAGAAAAAAAUUGAGCUAAGGGCUGAGAUGAAAUUUUUUUUCCACAUGAGAAGUGCUUUCAACUACUGUUACUAAAUGACUUUGGAAAUUAGCUUUUGCUGCAAAUUGGAUGUUUUAUUGUGAAUUCAAAUGAAAAUUUCAAGACAAAACAGUAUAAGCAAAAUAUAUUCUGAUAAAGUCAAUUUGAUAACUAACAUUUGAAUCAGAAAUAAUGUUAACUUGCUUUAUACAUUUCUUUUGCAAUAUAUUUGUUCAAUACAGAUUUGCAAAGCAUAUGUUUUCUGAGCAGAAACUAGUGUUCCAGCAUUGUUUUUCAGACUUCAGUGUAAGUUUUUCCUCUUUCAAAAUUCUUUUAACAACUCUGCAAUUGAGAAGCUUCCACCUGACUUUCAAAUGUUUCCCAAGUGAUGAAUAUACUCAAUUAAAAUCAUAGAUUGAUAUUAAUAUUUGGUAGUAUCAAUGAAAAGGCAUUUUCAAAGAUAAAAUAUAUUAAUCCCAAUACGUGUCUGCAUUAAC
ensembl:lncRNA